CCUACGGGUGGCUGCAGUGGGGAAUUUUGGACAAUGGGCGCAAGCCUGAUCCAGCCAUUCCGCGUGAGUGAAGAAGGCCUUCGGGUUGUAAAGCUCUUUCGCAAGGGAAGAAAACUUAUCCUCUAACAUAGGAUGAGGUUGACGGUACCUUGAUAAGAAGCACCGGCUAACUACGUGCCAGCAGCCGCGGUAAUACGUGGGGUGCGUGCGUUAAUCGGAGCGAGUGGGCGCAAAUCUGUAGCUGGGAUGUGAAAUCCCCGAGCUCAACUUGGGAACUGCGUUUGAAACUACAAGACUAGAAUAGGUCAGAGGGGGGUAGAAUUCCACGUGUAGCAGUGAAAUGCGUAGAGAUGUGGAGGAAUAUCAAUGGCGAAGGCAGCCCCCUGGGAUCAUAUUGACGCUCAUGCACGAAAGCGUGGGGAGCAAACAGGAUUAGAUACCCGAGUAGUC
rnacentral:rRNA from 1 species